GAGUAUAGAGGAAAAAGAGUGAGAAUGAGAGUAGAGAUGAGAUUGAGAGGAGAGGAUGAGAGGGAGAAAUAACAAAAGUGAAAACACAAACUAAGAAUUGAAAUAUAUUUCAAAUUGUUUUCAAUUUCAAGAUUGUGGUUUCACUUUUGUUACUCAUCUCUCUCAAUCUCAUCCUCAUUCCCUUUCUCACUCCCAUUUUUCUCCAUACUCU
rnacentral:snoRNA from 1 species